CUUGGUCAUUUAGAGGAAGUAAAAGUCGUAACAAGGUUUCCGUAGGUGAACCUGCGGAAGGAUCACUACAAAAGUUAAACACUUGGGGAACGGACUCGCCUUUCGGGGCUCGAGGCCUGACUCCAUUUGUAACAAACUUUCAACCACUUGUGAAUUUGUAACAAAUUUUCUCACCAUUGACUGUUAACGAAGUCUGAUUCAAAUUGUAUUGGUGUUUAUAGACACUAGUAAAAUAUGAAACAACUUUUGGCAACGGAUCUCUUGGCUCUCGCAACGAUGAAGAACGCAGCGAAAUGCGAUACGUAGUGUGAAUUGCAGAAUUCCGUGAAUCAUCGAAUCUUUGAACGCAUAUUGCACCUAUUGGUAUUCCGAUAGGUAUGCUUGUUCGAGUCUCAGUUUUCACCUACACAACCAAUGGUUUUUAAAAGCUGUAAUGGCGCGGUUAAUGUGGUAUUGAGUGUAUCCACUUGGUAAACGAGAGGGUCACUUGAAAUACUUGGUAGCUUUAUGAGUCCGAUAAUGCUUCGCAUAUUUCGAAAAGCUCAAAGUACCGCUAAGUGCCUUUACUGCUUUAGCUGGGAAAUUUUUGAAAUGGAGUGGUUGUCACUGACUUUAUACCAAACUUGAUAUUGAAUAGGUAGUUGCUGUAACUAUUCAUCUUUGAACUUGAGCUCGAAUCAAGCAAGAUUACCCGCUGAACUUAAGCAUAUCAAUAAGCGGAGGA
rnacentral:rRNA from 1 species